rnacentral:rRNA from 1 species
GACGAACGCUGGCGGCGUGCUUAACACAUGCAAGUCGAACGGAAAGGCCCUGCUUUUGUGGGGUGCUCGAGUGGCGAACGGGUGAGUAACACGUGAGUAACCUGCCCUGGACUUUGGGAUAACUUCAGGAAACUGGGGCUAAUACCGGAUAGGAGCUCCUGCUGCAUGGUGGGGGUUGGAAAGUUUCGGCGGUUGGGGAUGGACGCGCGGCUUAUCAGCUUGUUGGUGGGGUAGUGGCUUACCAAGGCUUUGACGGGUAGCCGGCCUGGGAGGGUGACCGGCCACAUUGGGACUGAGAUACGGCCCAGACUCCUACGGGAGGCAGCAGUGGGGAAUAUUGCACAAUGGGCGGAAGCCUGAUGCAGCAACGCCGCGUGCGGGAUGACGGCCUUCGGGUUGUAAACCGCUUUCGCCUGUGACGAAGCGUGAGUGACGGUAAUGGGUAAAGAAGCACCGGCUAACUACGUG